ensembl:lincRNA
AAGCCCGUAUGCUUGAAGAAUAUCCCGAAGUCCGUGCAAAUAUGACACAGCAGGUCUAUUUAUAGAAAAAGAUACUCCUGCUUUAGGUAUUUGACAUUGAUAGCUCCUGCUGCUCUCUUGGGCACACCUACUCUCCUGCCCUGUCCCUUUCUUUUGUGAACAUUUGCAAGUCAGCUAUGCACUAAGCAUGGAGCUAAAUACUAUCUAAGUUAAUCCUCAUGCUACAACUGCUAGAUAUGUACUGAUAACUGUCAUCAUCCCCAUUCAGGAUGACAAACUGAGGCUUCAUGAGGUUAAGUCAUUUUGCUCGAGGCCACAUGGCUUACACGGGGCAAAGCCAAGAUGGAAACCUAGCACAUGCAAGAAUCACUUCCAAGACGGGGCACCACACUUCUCCCUCACUUGGUGACAGACAGUCUAGGAUGUCAUUAGGGGGUGAAAAGAGGUCCUCUCUUGCUCUCAUCUCUCUGGUCAGCCAUGAGGAAGACAGUCAUAGCGUCUUCAUGUGCUAAGCUUCCCCAGCUCUGACGAGGGAGGCUACAGAAAGAUAUAUUUGCACCGGGGAAAGGAAAUGGUGUAGGAAGGAACUGCUUCUAGGCGCCACGUGCCGCCAUGCUGACCAGAAGAAGGAAUGCUGUCUGUAGCUGCAACCGUUGUGCCCCGAUAAGCUGAGCACCCAGAGUGCACCUAGAAGAUGAGGACUGACCCAGAAGGCUGGCCAGAUGGGGCAGUGUUUCGUUGACCUCGUUAGCUUGAAAACGAGCUGGACUGAGGGCCAUUUCUACAGUUCUAAUGAGCUAGUGCAGAGAGCAUGGCCAGACAAAAUUCGCACAGAAAACAACGCUUCCAUCCAGAAUGUGCCAGGAUGGAACACUAUUAAAUAUCCAGGACCAAUCUUCCAGGAGCCGACUGAAAAACUGAGAAGACAUUCUGGUGUUCUGCAACAGAUGACUACAUGGAGACCAAGUCAGGCAGCUGCCGAGAGCCCUUUCACACACUUGCCUGGGGGACAAGAGACCGAUCUACAGGCAUGAGAUCUGUGACACUUCAUCUGCGACCAGAGGAGCCAUGACACACGACCUUCUUUGAUGACCUCUUCUGACCCAGCUGCGUACAAGCAAACCAGGGAGUUAGCUCUCUCCCCUCCUCUCUCCUUUCUUGUCCUUUUCUUACUUUGUGGUAUUCUAAGUACUUGGAAUAUUCUCUGAGGCCAGGGAAACUCAAGCCAAGUGGUAGGUGAAUCUCAGUAAAGAGCACUCCUCCCGCUCAACAUACACUCAUCUCUAAUGAGGCUUCAAAAGAUAAUUAGACGAUGGUCACCGACAAAGCCCUCCAAAGAAACCACAGGAUCAAAGGAUUAUGUGGUUAGAGUCAAUAGUGAGAUUUAAGAAUCGGGGAGGAGAGAGAGAAGAGCAGGGUCAGGACACACAGAAAGUGAUAUAACCUGAUUCUGGAGAGCCCAGGGGUUUGGGUUUUGUUCUGUUUGCUUAUUCUGUUUUAUUUUGUUUUUUAAUCAGCAGUGAUUGUCUGUUUUCCUAGGAAAUGUGAAAGAAGGCUAGCCAAAGAAAAGCAUGCUGUCAUUUUUAUUCCUCUCCUUUCACACAGUCUUUGGGGAGCACCCAGUGAGACCACCAUAAAAGGCCAUUUUUUUCAGCACAUUACCAGCUGAAUUUCUUUGGAAAAGGACCAGGACUAACCUAUCUUCUACAACAGGGAACAAUGUUAAUGAGGCUACAGUGGAAUUCAAAGAUGUGUAUUGAAAGUUUCUGUUUGCCAACACCACAUACAGCAGCGAAUGCAACAGUGAGAUUUGUAUGGAGAAAAUCAAUUCUGUGCCAGGGCACAGCAUAGCAUGGGGAAACAUCUCUAUUCACUGGGCUCCUAGUCAAAUAAGAAGGGCAACACCACCCAUGGGGGGAGAAAUUUGGAAUACACUCAAAAAAACAGUAAGUGAAUAGGGAAGGGAAAAUCAUGGGCAUUUGAGUUUGUCAGGAAAAUUCAUCAUUGUUUGUCCCUAGAAUCUAGGGAGGUGGUUCCAACAUGCGGGAAUUAAUGAGCACCAAAGAGGGGACUUGAAUGAAAGACAAUGAAGGUGGCCUGCCAGAG